rnacentral:tRNA from 1 species
GCUCUUGUGGCCCGGCUGGUGAGGGCACCACUCUGAUACGGUGGGGGUCGAAGGUUCGAAUCCUUCCGAGAGCA